CGUGCUGCUACAGAGUAUUGUUGUACUUCUCUUAUCUCACUCUUGGAGAAUUAAUUUUAUGGAAACUUUGCACUGCACAUAACUGAAAGGAGAAGCAACGUGCAAUUAAUUUCUCUUGGCAGCAACAUUUAUUUCCAAACCAAACAGCAACGUGUAACUAUUCUCAAGAGCAAUAAGGCAGGUUUUGCUCUCCGCUCCGAUCUUGUUGUCCUGUUUUAUCGUGUUGUUGAAUUCGGGCUUUCUUCGAAGGGAAAUAAAGUGGAAGAAGAUCAUUUCUUGGUAUAUAUGAUUUUGGAGGAAACGGGAUUUGAGUUUGGACAAGCGUAAAAAGCAAAUAAGAGCUAUUCCCUACUCUGGAGUAUGCUGUGUUGUGGCGCCAGUGACGGGGUGGCGACCACGUUCUGUUCACCGAGUCCCAUAAUGGGAGCCGGAUAUGGCAUAUGCUCUGACAUGUAUUAUCUCUGUUCUGUACACCCAGAUGAUGUGAAGUUGUUAUAGAGGAUGUUCCAGCAGAGUUGGCAAGCUCCAUUUGCUCCUGGAGCGCUGCCGAGUCAGAGUUUGUAUGUAUGCUUUUUGGAUUGAGGUUAGAGACUUUGCAGACAGAGUCGUGGGUAUAGUAUGUCAGUGGUGUAAGCGGCUCCAUCAUCCGAUAUGUCAUUCUGUAUUAUAUGUUAAAUUCUAUAUGAUCACAAAUUCUGUUGAUUUGGAAAGCUUCGAAAAAGAAUAUUUUUGAGAGCAUACUGUGUAUUUUAUUUUAUUGGAUUUAAAAGCCUAAUAAUAUUUUGUAUGUCCUAAAGGUCUGUGGGUUCACUCGACUCCGGAUAUGGGGUCGGGUGCCCAUCACACCCUAGUGGAAUUGGGGUGUGACACAUGUCAAGCUCUUA